ACGCUGGCGGCAUGGUUAAGACAUGCAAGUCGAACGAAAAACAUGACUUCGGUCAUGUGGAAAGUGGCGAACGGGUGCGUAACACGUGAGCAACCUGCCCUUGAGUAUGGAAUAGCCCGCCGAAAGGCGGAUUAAUGCCGUAUGUGGCCUUUCAUCGCAUGGUAAAAUGGCUAAAGCUUGUAAUGGCGCUCAAGGAUGGGCUCGCGGCCUAUCAGCUUGUUGGUGAGGUAAUAGCUCACCAAGGCAAAGACGGGUAGCUGGUCUGAGAGGAUGAUCAGCCACACCGGGACUGAGACACGGCCCGGACACCUACGGGUGGCAGCAGUUUCGAAUCAUUCACAAUGGGCGAAAGCCUGAUGGUGCAAUGCCGCGUGGAGGAUGACGGCCCUAGGGUUGUAAACUCCUGUCAUUGGGGAGCAACAAGCAGGUUCAUAACCUGCCCUGAGUUAACCCAAAGAGGAAGAGGUGGCUAACUCCGUGCCAGCAGCCGCGGUAAUACGGAGACCUCGAGCGUUACUCGGAUUUACUGGGCGUAAAGGGUGAGUAGGCGGCCAAGUAUGUCGGGUGUGAAAUCCCGGGGCUUAACCCCGGAACUGCGCCCGAAACUAUUUGGCUAGAGUCUCGGAGAGGAUAGUGGAAUUCCAGGUGUAGCGGUGAAAUGCGUAGAUAUCUGGAGGAACACCAGUGGCGAAGGCGACUGUCUGGACGAGAACUGACGCUCAAUCACGAAAGCGUGGGUAGCGAAAGGGAUUAGAUACCCCUGUAGUCCACGCCGUAAACGUUGUACAUUAAGUUUCGGAGGAUUCGACCCCUUCGGAGCUCAAGCUAACGCGUUAAAUGUACCGCCUGAGGACUACGGCCGCAAGCCUAAACCAAAUGAUGCG
rnacentral:rRNA from 1 species